rnacentral:rRNA from 1 species
UGAGGAAUAUUGGUCAAUGGGUGCAAGCCUGAACCAGCCAUCCCGCGUGAAGGACGACUGCCCUAUGGGUUGUAAACUUCUUUUGUAUAGGGAUAAACCUACCUUCGUGAGGGUAGCUGAAGGUACUAUACGAAUAAGCACCGGCUAACUCCGUGCCAGCAGCCGCGGUAAUACGGAGGGUGCAAGCGUUAUCCGGAUUUAUUGGGUUUAAAGGGUCCGUAGGCGGACUUAUAAGUCAGUGGUGAAAGCCUGUCGCUUAACGAUAGAACUGCCAUUGAUACUGUAAGUCUUGAGUAUAUUUGAGGUAGCUGGAAUAAGUAGUGUAGCGGUGAAAUGCAUAGAUAUUACUUAGAACACCAAUUGCGAAGGCAGGUUACCAAGAUAUAACUGACGCUGAGGGACGAAAGCGUGGGGAGCGAACAGG